GCGGGAGCAGGCGUUCAGUACAGGCACCAGUCACCAGGAACCAACGGACUCAGCAGAACUUACCCCAAAUCGUCAAAGUGCAGCCGCAGCACGGCCCAGAUGGUCACACACACGGUGGGCGUCCCUGCAGGAGAGAAGCAGGUCAGAACCACAGGUCCGACCCACAGGUCAGAACCACCGCAGGUCAGAACCACCGCAGGUCAGAACCACCGCAGGUCAGACCCACCGCAGGUCAGAACCACCGUAUUUCAGACCCACCGUAUUUCAGAACCACUACAGGUCAGAAGAACCGCAGGUCAGAACCACCGCAGGUCAGACCCACUUC